GGGGAUGUAGCUUAAAUUGUAAAGCGCUCGCUUUGCAUGCAAGAGGUAUAGGGUUUGAUACCCUGCAUCCUCU
rnacentral:tRNA from 1 species